UGCCAGCCGCCGCGGUAAUACGAACUGUGCAAACGUUAUUCGGAAUCACUGGGCUUAAAGAGUCCGUAGGCUGCUUGGUAGGUGGGGUGUGAAAUCCCACGGCUCAACCGUGGAAUAGCGCUCCAAACCACUAAGCUUGAGGGAGAUAGAGGAGAGCGGAACUGAUGGUGGAGCGGUGAAAUGCGUUGAUAUCAUCAGGAACACCGGUGGCGAAAGCGGCUCUCUGGGUCUUAACUGACGCUGAGGCACGAAAGCGUGGGGAGCGAACAGGAUUAGAUA
rnacentral:rRNA from 1 species